UACAGAGGUCUCAAGCGUUUGUUCGGAUUCAUUGGGCGUAAAGGGUGCGUAGGUGGCGCGCUAAGUCGGGUGUGAAAUCUCGGAGCUUAACUCCGAAAUUGCAUUCGAUACUGGCGUGCUUGAGGACUGGAGAGGAGACUGGAAUUCAUGGUGUAGCAGUGAAAUGCGUAGAGAUCCGGAGGAACACCAAAGGCGAAGGCAGUGUCCUGGGGAGUACCUGACGCUCAGGUGCGAAAGCCAGGGGAGCGAACGGG
rnacentral:rRNA from 1 species